UGUAUUUAUUAGAUAAAAAACCAAUGCCCUUCGGGGCUUUUUGGUGAUUCAUGAUAACUUUACGGAUCGCAUAGCCUUGCGCUGGCGACGGUUCAUUCAAAUUUCUGCCCUAUCAACUUUCGAUGGUAAGGUAUUGGCUUACCAUGGUUUCAACGGGUAACGGGGAAUUAGGGUUCGAUUCCGGAGAGGGAGCCUGAGAAACGGCUACCACAUCCAAGGAAGGCAGCAGGCGCGCAAAUUACCCAAUCCCGACACGGGGAGGUAGUGACAAUAAAUACUGAUACAGGGCUCUUUUGGGUCUUGUAAUUGGAAUGAGUACAAUUUAAACCUCUUAACGAGGAACAAUUGGAGGGCAAGUCUGGUGCCAGCAGCCGCGGUAAUUCCAGCUCCAAUAGCGUAUAUUAAAGUUGUUGCAGUUAAAAAGCUCGUAGUUGAAACUUGGGCCUGGCUGGCGGGUCCGCCUCACCGCGUGCACUCGUCCGGCCGGGCCUUCCUUCUGAAGAACCUCAUGCCCUUCACUGGGCGUGCUGGGAAACCAGG
rnacentral:rRNA from 1 species